rnacentral:piRNA from 1 species
UCCACUCAUCAUUAUUCUCCACCAGAAGU